rnacentral:rRNA from 1 species
AUGCUUGUCUCAAAGAUUAAGCCAUGCAUGUCUAAGAAUAAGCCCCAGAACGGCGAAUCUGCGAAUGGCUCAUUAAAUCAGUUAUUGUUUAUUUGAUGGUACCUUACUACUUGGAUAACCGUAGUAAUUCUAGAGCUAAUACAUGCGUCAAGCCCCGACUUCGGAAGGGGUGCAUUUAUUAGAUUCAAACCAUCGGCCUCUGUCAAAGGAGGUCCAUGAUGGUGAGUCAUAAUAACUGAGCGAAUCGAAUAGCCUUGUGCUGUCGAUGCUUCAUUCAAAUUUCUGCCCUAUCAGCUUUCGAUGGUAGGAUCUUGGCCUACCAUGGCUACAACGGGUAACGGGGAAUA